UUUAAUUAUGUAUUUUUUCAGAUUACAUGGAAGGUAAGCAUCGCGUUAGAAAUUUCAGGGGAUAGAAUUAUUAAAUUCCAUAACUUCAUAGGAAGGUUGUCACAAAACGUGGAACACCGAAAUACAUGCCGCUGAAAAGAAUUUAAUGUAGCCACAAGUUACUCGGGCUCCUACCAAAAUCACGCUUUUCUUCCUCCUGAUUUGCAUCUAGCUGAGGUGCCAGGGAAGAUUGGCCACAGUACGAGACUGCCGCAGUCUGACGGCUCUGGUUUUCUUGGUGACUCGGGAGUGCAUGCAGUUCCGGCGGCGCAUGUUUGCAUGAUGCUUCCCAUAAGAACUGAGAUUCAGCGUUAAUCCUUUCUUUGCGAGACACAAAGGGCAGACGCCAUUGCUACCUGGUCGACGACCCGUGUCGGGUGACACUACGUCGUUCCGCGUAGUUCCGCGUUCCUAGCAACUAUGAGCUACACCUUGACGACAGGGAUACAUACUGACAGUAAUCUAAAUGAUGAAAGUGCUUGAGAUAUAAAAUAGUAUUCUGCAAAGACUAACAAGGUGCGAUCAAGUGUAGGUGAAAUCCACCACUCUGCUUGCAUCAAUGAAACUCAAUUAGUGACUAUUCAUGUUGUUUCAGUACGUUCUUGGUUUGUACGGGAACAUGUUUAACCAGGAUCGAAAUUUGUUUGUACCUCCAAAUUUAUUGAUGUACAGUUGACAUUGCAUACAAAUUGUUGUUAUGCUAGAUGAAUUGGUACCAAAUUUGCUUUGGAACAAUAAGGAAGGAGGUAUUUUUCUUUCUUUCAGCAAUAUAUAUGAGUGCCAUCAUUUGCUAUACCAUACCAAAACGUUUCACAGAAGUGUUCAAAUUAUUUAUUAAUAUAUUAUAUUUGUUACCACAAAAAGAAAGUAAAGGAAUGACCAAUGCAAUAGAUUUAUAUAGUUUUGUAGUUGUAGUAUCUAUUCAUAACAGCAAGAAGAGUAAAAAAAUUAAUAGUAGUUUCUUAUGCAUUAUUGUGCAGAUUUUUGUAUUCUAAAAAGGUAGCCAAGAUGGACAUUCGUUAAGAUGAUCCAUAGAUAACAGAAGUUCUAAAUAUUUCCAAAUCACGAGUUUUAGAAGCAGCAUAUUACUUCAACAUAUAGACUUUGAUCCGAUCAUUUGUUUCUGCUACGAUCAACACUCCGAAGCCAAACAACCAAAUUGAAAAGUAAAACAUGGAGUGGUGUUUUAUAUUUCUUACCGAUUGGUGAAUUAUCUUUUUCUAGAUUAAUAUUUCCACUUUUUCAGUCUGUUUAUAAUUGACAAAUGUAUGCUACUGGAGUGGCUACACACAGGAGUUGCAGCUAAGACAAUAGUUUAUAAAUGUCUAGGUAUGCCCUGCUGGAUUGUUUCUGAUCGGCUUACAUUGUCUCCCUUCCCCCGUAGGAACUCUGCUAUAUUUUUUUAAUAAGCAAGAGCUGGAGCUGGAGGACAUGGAUUCAUAAUGACAUUAAUCUCCAUGAUGAAAUUGCUAGAGAGAGAGAGAAUAAUAUUCAACAAAGAGUAAAAAGGAAUUGGUUCCAAUCUACAUCAGAACAAUCAAACUUUAACGGAAGGAUGUAGUGUUCUUUCUUCCAGUUUCUUAAGGGACAUAUAUUAAAGCCUUGAUUUUCUCAACUAUGUAAAAACAUUUCAAACCGUUGUUCAAACUAUUGACUACUAUAUUAUAUAUUUUGUUAGCACAGACAGAAGGUAAAUAGAGCAACUAAUGCAAUAUAUUUAUGUAGUUUUGUACCAGUAAUAGGAGAUUAUGUUGCAACAAUAUGUAGAUUUUUGUAAUCUACAAAGUUUACCAAGAUGAAUAUUCGUCAAAUGAGCCAAA